ensembl:miRNA
ACCCACGGUACCUCCUGGGACCUGAGGCAGCACCUCAGGAAACACCUGCUGCUCAUCAGAUUCCCAGGCCCAGCCCUCACC